rnacentral:rRNA from 1 species
UCGAGAAUCUUUCGCAAUGGGGGAAACCCUGACGACGCGACGCCGCGUGGAGGAUGAAGGUCUUCGGAUUGUAAACUCCUGUCAGCUGGGGAGAACAAGCUGUCGGUUAAUAAUCGAUAGCUUUGACAGUACCAGCAGAGGAAGCCACGGCUAACUCUGUGCCAGCAGCCGCGGUAAUACAGAGGUGGCAAGCGUUGUUCGGAUUUAUUGGGCGUAAAGGGUCCGUAGGCGGCCGAGAAAGUCGGAUGUGAAAUCCCACAGCUUAACUGUGGAACUGCAUUCGAAACUUCUUGGCUCGAGUGUGAUAGGGGUAAAGGGAAUUCCCGGUGUAAGGGUGAAAUCUGCAGAGAUCGGGAGGAACACCAGUCGCGAAGGCGCUUUACUGGAUCACUACUGACGCUGAGGGACGAAAGCCAGGGGAGCAAACG